GGGUUGUGAGGUUAAGCGACUAAGCGUACACGGUGGAUGCCCUGGCAGUCAGAGGCGAUGAAGGACGUGCUAAUCUGCGAUAAGCGCCGGUAAGGUGAUAUGAACCGUUAUAACCGGCGAUUUCCGAAUGGGGAAACCCAGUGUGACUCGUCACACUAUCAUUAACUGAAUCCAUAGGUUAAUGAGGCGAACCGGGGGAACUGAAACAUCUAAG
rnacentral:rRNA from 1 species